rnacentral:rRNA from 1 species
AACGAACGCUGGCGGCAGGCCUAACACAUGCAAGUCGAGCGCCCAGCAAUGGGAGCGGCAGACGGGUGAGUAACACGUGGGAACCUUCCCUAUAGUACGGAAUAGCCCAGGGAAACUUGGAGUAAUACCGCAUACGCCCGAGAGGGGAAAGAUUUAUCGCUAUAGGAUGGGCCCGCGUAGGAUUAGCUAGUUGGUGAGGUAAUGGCCCACCAAGGCGACGAUCCUUAGCUGGUCUGAGAGGACGACCAGCCACACUGGGACUGAGACACGGCCCAGACUCCUACGGGAGGCAGCAGUGGGGAAUAUUGGACAAUGGGCGCAAGCCUGAUCCAGCCAUGCCGCGUGAGUGAUGAAGGCCUUAGGGUUGUAAAGCUCUUUUGCCGGGGACGAUAAUGACGGUACCCGGAGAAUAAGUCCCGGCUAACUUCGUGCCAGCAGCCGCGGUAAU